rnacentral:hammerhead_ribozyme from 1 species
AUCCAGCUGACGAGUCACAAAUAGGACGAGAUGAGGUGCGUCCUGGAU